rnacentral:rRNA from 1 species
GAUGAACGCUGGCGGCGUGCCUAAUACAUGCAAGUCGAGCGAACAGAUAAGGAGCUUGCUCCUUUGACGUUAGCGGCGGACGGGUGAGUAACACGUGGGUAACCUACCUAUAAGACUGGAAUAACUCCGGGAAACCGGGGCUAAUGCCGGAUAACAUUUAGAACCGCAUGGUUCUAAAGUGAAAGAUGGUUUUGCUAUCACUUAUAGAUGGACCCGCGCCGUAUUAGCUAGUUGGUAAGGUAAAGGCUUACCAAGGCAACGAUACGUAGCCGACCUGAGAGGGUGAUCGGCCACACUGGAACUGAGACACGGUCCAGACUCCUACGGGAGGCAGCAGUAGGGAAUCUUCGGCAAUGGGCGAAAGCCUGACGGAGCAACGCCGCGUGAGUGAUGAAGGUCUUCGGAUCGUAAAACUCUGUUAUUAGGGAGGAACAAAUGUGUAAGUAACUGUGCACGUCUUGACGGUACCUAAUCAGAAAGCCACGGCUAACUACGUG